GAGUCACCAUCCCUGGAGGUCUUUAAAAGAGGUUUAGAUGUAGAGCUUAGUGACAUGGUUUAGUGGAGGACUUGCUAGUGUUAGGUGAGAGGUUGGUCUGGGUGAUCUUGGAGGUCUCUUCCAACCUAGAAAUUCUGUGAUUCUGUGAUUCUGUGAAUAUGUGAUUU